rnacentral:rRNA from 1 species
GAGACCCACGCCAACAGUUGCCAGCUCGUCUUCCGGGAUGGUGGGGACACUGUUGGGACCGCCUCUGCUAAAGAGGAGGAAGGAAUGGGCAACGGUAGGUCAGCAUGCCCCGAAUUAUCCGGGCUACACGCGGGCUACAAUGGGUGGGACAAUGGGUAUCGACACCGAAAGGUGAAGGCAAUCUCUUAAACCCAUCCUUAGUUCGGAUUGUGGGCUGCAACUCGCCCACAUGAAGCUGGAAUCUGUAGUAAUCGUGCCUCAACAUGGCACGGUGAAUAU